rnacentral:rRNA from 1 species
GAUGAACGCUAGCUACAGGCUUAACACAUGCAAGUCGAGGGGAAACGAUAUUGGAAGCUUGCUUCCGAUAGGCGUCGACCGGCGCACGGGUGAGUAACGCGUAUCCAACCUGCCCACCACUUGGGGAUAACCUUGCGAAAGUAAGGCUAAUACCCAAUGAUAUCUCUAGAAGACAUCUGAAGGAGAUUAAAGAUUCAUCGGUGAUGGAUGGGGAUGCGUCUGAUUAGCUUGUUGGCGGGGUAACGGCCAACCAAGGCGACGAUCAGUAGGGGUUCUGAGAGGAAGGUCCCCCACAUUGGAACUGAGACACGGUCCAAACUCCUACGGGAGGCAGCAGUGAGGAAUAUUGGUCAAUGGGCGAGAGCCUGAACCAGCCAAGUAGCGUGCAGGAUGACGGCCCUAUGGGUUGUAAACUGCUUUUAUAAGGGAAUAAAGUGAGUCUCGUGAGACCUUUUGCAUGUACCUUAUGAAUAAGGACCGGCUAAUUCCGUGCCAGCCGCCGCCGUAA